rnacentral:misc_RNA from 1 species
AACGCACAUUGCGCCCUCUGGUAUUCCGGGGGGCAUGCCUGUUCGAGCGUCAUUACAACCCUCAAGCUCCGCUUGGUAUUGGGCCGCACCCCCCCCUCCGGGGCGGGGUUGGCCCCAAAGUCAUUGGCGGUGCCCGCUGGACUCCGAGCGCAGUAAUCUUACUCUCGCUUCUGGACGCCGUCACGGCACUCGGCCACAACCCAAACUUUUUCAUACUGGUUGACCUCGGAUCAGGUAGGGAUACCCGCUGAACUUAA